rnacentral:rRNA from 1 species
UACGGAGGAUGCGAGCGUUAUCCGGAUUCAUUGGGUUUAAAGGGUGCGUAGGCGGAUCGUUAAGUCAGUGGUCAAAUUGAGGGGCUCAACCCCUUCCCGCCAUUGAAACUGGCGAUCUUGAGUGGAAGAGAAGUAUGCGGAAUGCGUGGUGUAGCGGUGAAAUGCAUAGAUAUCACGCAGAACCCCGAUUGCGAAGGCAGCAUGCCGGCUUCCUACUGACGCUGAAGCACGAAAGCGUGGGGAUCGAACAGG